ACCGAGUGCUCCGGAUGAUAGUGUGAUCGUAACAUCCAACGUCCGUUGAUCCUUGAGCUAUUUAGGCGACACUAUAAGAAAAUGGAAAAGAGAGAGUAAGCAUAAAGCUUAGUAAGAAGUAUGCAAAUACAUAGCAACAACUAUACCAUUCAUCAACAUGUUCUUGAUAUAAAAUAGGCAUAAACACAACUUACUCAUCACUAUCCAAUACUCAUCAUAAUAUAUAUAUAUAUUGAACUUACAUCUCACACAUACCGAAUAGGUUUCUGUAUCAAUCACAACACGGUUAUACUUUUCUCAUAAUCUUAAAUCGUAACUUUCAUCAUUGAACCAUUCGGAAUACUUUCGGAUAUUCAAUGAGCCUCAACAUGGGGUAGGAUGCCGAUGCCAUGUCCCGGACAUAGUCUUACACUAGCUCAACUUGUAGCCGAUGCAUGUCCUAGACAUGUCUUACACUGGCUUACGUCUCGAGGCUGAUGCAUGUCCCAGACAUGUCUUAUACUAGCUCUCGUCUCAAUGCCGAUGCCAUGUCCCGGACAUGGUCUUACACUAGCUCUCGUAAUAUGGCCGAUGCAUGUCCCAGAUGUAAUACCCCAUACCCGUACCUGAGAUCCGGGAUAGGAUACGAGGCAUUACCGAAAUUUUCAGAAUAAUUUCAAUUAAUUUAUAUUAUUUAGUAUUCAUUUUCAUGUUUCAUGUAACAUCCUUUUAAUAUAUUCAAUUCAAAAUAUCAUAUAAAAUACGAUACGAUACAAUACUUAAAUUUUCAUAUUUACAUGCUCAUUCAGGGUAUCCGAACCUACCUGACUAGAUUGUAGAAAUACCAAGAUUUAGGGGCAUAUUGGUAAUUUACCAUUUUCCCAAAUUUCACCCAAUCUUAAAUUGAUAAUUUCAUUCAAUUUAUUAAUUUAGAUAAUAAAACAAUUUAUUCCCUUCAAUUUAGUCAUUUUUGACAUUUUUACAAAAUUACCCCCUAAAGUUUUACUUUUAUUCAAUUUAGUCCAUGAGCUUAAAACAUGCAAAUUAGCCAUGCUAACUGAAUAUUCAUAUAUAUUUUUCCUCCUCCUCCUCUCCAUUCCACAUCCUUAAUGUAUAUAACAUUCUUGUAAGUACGAUUUCACAAUUUACUUAUUAAUGCUCACAUCAAGCUGUUCACACGAGUCAUAGUCACUCAAUUAUUUAUAAUUCGAGCUACAGAGCUCAAAAUUAAGAUCCGUAAUUUUUUCCUGAAACUAGACUCACAUAUCAUUCCACCAUAAAAUUUUCAGAAUUUUUGGUUUAUCCAAUUAGUACAGUUUAUUCAUUUAAGUUUCCCCUGUUUCACUAUACAUAGUUUUGACCUCUCUUCACUAAAAAUUAAUUAUAUCACAGUAAAAAACUCAGAUAAUGUUCCCAUUGAUUUCUAUUGAAAAUAGACUCGUUAAGAAUUCUAAGCAUAUAAAUUUGAGACUCUAAUUAAUUUUCUCCAAUUUUUGGUGAUUUUCCAAAGUCAAAAUAGGGGAACCCGAAUUCAUUCUAACCUUGUCUCACAAAAUUCAUUAUAUCUCAUAAUUUACAAAUCCAUUGCUUACACCGUUUCUUCUAUGAAAAACUAGGCUCAAUAAGCUUUAAUUUCAUAUUUUAUUCAUCUUAUAAUUAGAUUUUUACAAUUUAUGGUGAUUUUUCAAAGUUAGUCUACUUCUGCUGUCCAAUAUUGUUUUAGUUCAAGAUGUUUAUUACCAUUUUUCCUCUAAAUUUCAAAGGUCAUACAAUUCAGUACUUGCUCAAUUAGCCCAUCUAUUAAGCUAAUUUUUCUCAAUUAACAUUUUAUUCCAUCAUUCUAAACUAUUACACAAUCUUUGAAAAUCAGAAUUUUAACACUAAACCUUAAUUCACAACUUUUUCACAAUUAGAUCCUAAAAUCAAUUUCUAUUGAAAUUACUUGAUAAAAUCAUCAAACAACAAAAUCAAAGCUUCAAAUUCAUUUUAUUUCAUCAUAAACAGCUAACACUUAUCAAUGAUAGCUUUUAAUUUUUGUUCAUAAAAUCAAAAACUAAUGAAUUAAACAAUUGGACCUAAUUGUAAAAGUCACAAAAACUUAAAAAUCUCAAAGAAAAGGGUAAGAAUUGAACUCACAUAUGUCAAAGUAUGAAAAACCAGCAGCUUUCAGACCUCCCAUGGCGUUUUUGCUGAAGAAAAAUGAUGAUAUCUCUAGAUUUUUCAAAUUUAUCUUGUUUUAUAUGUUUAAUUUGCAAAAUUUCCCAUUUUGCCCUUGUUUCUCCUUGUCUUUUUUGCUGAUUUUCUUGCCCAACCGUCCAGCCCAUACAAAUUGGGUCCAAUUGCCUUUUAAAUCCCUCCUUUUUAAUCACUUAAACUAUUUAAUCACAAUUUAAUAAAUUUCGCACUAUUUUCAAUUUAGUCCUUUUUAAUUAAUUGACUAACCAAACGUUAAAAUUUUCUAACGAAACUUUAAUACUAACUUAAUAACACUCCAUAAAUAUUUAUAAAAAUAUUUAUGGCUCGGUUUAUAAAUUCGAGGUCUCGAUACCUCAUUUUCAACCAAAUUUACCUGAUUAAUUCUUUUAAAAUCGCAAAAUUCACUAAUUAAAAAUAAUUCUUUUAAGUUCGCGCUUGGCCUAUAAUUAUUAUUUGUUAAAAUUUCUAAACUUACUCGUCGGAUUUAGUGAUCUCGAAUCACUGUUUCCGACACCACUGAAAAAUUUGGCUGUUACACCAGACAUGUCUUACACUAACUCACAAUAGUCCAUACGUUAUGACAUAAAUAUCUGAUUUAUUUCUCAUGGUUUAAAUGAGAAUUCUAUUAUAUGAAUUAUCAUCAUGCAUUCUCAUUUCCACAAUCAAGUAUUUCAUGCUAAAAUUAAUUCAACACGUAUAAUGACAAUGUAGUUGUAUUAUUUGCAUACAACUUACCUCGGUUUACAAAAUAUUGUGUCUAGACGGUCUAAUCGAUUUGCUUGGCUUUCCCCCGGUCUAAGUUCAGACUUUGCAUUUCUUGAUCUAUAACAACGAAAAUUCACAAAUUUAAUCAUUUUAACAAUUUAGGUACUCAAUAAUCUAUACUUGGGCAAAGUGACCAUUUUGCCCCUAAACUUUUACAAAAUGACUAUUUUACCCCUAGGUUCGAAAAUCGAUUUUUAUCAAAUUUCCUCCUAUAAAAAGCCUAGCUGAACCCUUUAUACUGUUAUAGCAAUCCAAAAUUUCCACUAUCUUACACAUUUAUCAACAAAUUUCCAACUUAUGCCAUAUAGUCCCUAUUAGGGUUUUCAUGAGAAAACCCUUCACAUAAGUUGUUUAUUACACAUCUAAUACUCAUAUUCUUCCAUAAAAUUUUAGAAAACUACACAUAUGCUUUCAUGGAAAAACCCUAAACUCUCAACCAUUAUGUACAAUAAUCCUCUUAAUAGAAAGCUUAUGUUACAAGGGAUCCAAAAAUACAAAAAUCAUUAAGAAAAAUCAUCAAACUCACUUACUUGUAGAGAGGCUAAAUGGCUGAAAUUUUGAAGCUUUCAAACAUCUAAUCUUGCUGAAAAUUUC
rnacentral:lncRNA from 1 species